GAAUCUUAGACAAUGGGCGCAAGCCUGAUCUAGCCAUGCCGCGUGAGUGAAGAAGGCCCUAGGGUCGUAAAGCUCUUUCGCCAGGGAUGAUAAUGACAGUACCUGGUAAAGAAACCCCGGCUAACUCCGUGCCAGCAGCCGCGGUAAUACGGAGGGGGUUAGCGUUGUUCGGAAUUACUGGGCGUAAAGCGCGCGUAGGCGGGUCGGAAAGUUGGGGGUGAAAUCCCAGGGCUCAACCCUGGAACUGCCUCCAAAACUGUCGGUCUUGAGUUCGAGAGAGGUGAGUGGAAUUCCGAGUGUAGAGGUGAAAUUCGUAGAUAUUCGGAGGAACACCAGUGGCGAAGGCGGCUCACUGGCUCGAUACUGACGCUGAGGUGCGAAAGUGUGGGGAGCAAACAGG
rnacentral:rRNA from 1 species